UCCUGAUAGGUAGCAUUCUUUAAUAGAAGAAGCAUGGAACAUGGAACAUGCCAGCCCUAUCAGAUCAAUUCCAUCUGGUAGAAACCACAUUAUUAAAUAUUUCUGGAGCUUCAUUAACGUGAUUAUGUUUUAUACACAUUUUUAUUUAUUCUUUUUUUAAAAAAAGGAAAGAGAAAAUAAACAUGUCCUCGCACUUGUUCUUUAACAUCAGAAAUAAUUAAGAAAAGCUUCAGUCAAGGCAUCAUCAUCAUCUUCAUAAAAUUAUCUUUUACCAGAUCUAAACAAAAUAUUUUUAUCUUAAGGGCCUUUAUUCUAAUUUGGCCCUGCUGCACCUUAUUUUUAAAAAGUCAUUUCCAUGUAUUUUAAUUAUGUGACUGGUGUCUUCUCUCUUGUGCUACCUUUAACCGGAACAUGCCUUGGGGAAAUAAAAUAAUGUACAAGAUAGUUGUCCUUCUAGCAUUCUGAUUGGCUGGUUCUUUAGAAGCCAGUUGUGCCUGGUUCUGAUUGGUUGCCCUCACCUUCCUUUCCAAAUCCUAACCAGUUUUACACUUUAAAAAAUAUUUGCAGUUGUCUUAAAUGGAUGAAGCUAAUAAAUAUACUGAAAAAUAUGCAUGUUUCCAGACAGUUGAACCUUGAAACAAUAAUUAUGGAAUCUGUGCCUCUAUCUAUCUUAGCAAUGGCCACCACUGCUGCCUGUGGUGUUUAGGAGAGAUUAGAAGAAAGCCAGGGGAUCAGUGAAGUACUCAGUAAAUGCAUUAUCUGCCUUCUGAUCUAGGCUUCAGAUUAUCAUCUCACCAAACCAGCAGUCCGACAUAAGCUGUAGCAUUUGUUAAAGCAGGCAGUCCUUGUCUUUGGGCAUCAAUCACUCUGGACUAGAAAAUAGGAGAGGAGGUGCAACGGGCAAUGCUGUAGCAGAAUCUCCAAGCAACAGCAGCAAGAGCAGUAGCUUUUCUGGAAAGAGAAUGGGGAAUGGCAGAUGAAAGAAGUGGCAUUCAGCCGAAGCCAGUAAAUCACCACCUCCUUUUUCUUCCAGCGUCAGAAUCUGUGAGCUAUACAAUUGCAUCCCGUUGCUCAGGUCCACCACCUUUUGUUUGGCUCCCUCCUUGAACAGCCACCCAACACCAUUGUUAUACAGCAGAACGGAUCAUUUGCAGCCAGCUGAAGAAGGCAUCCUGCUUAAUUGCACAGAGAAGCUUGGAAACGCUGAGAUGGGAGAGCACCUCCAGUUCUCCUAACACGGCAUCUGAAGGAGAAGGUCUUUGGAUGUAAGUGGCCAAAGUUCAGGGGCAAGCGAAGGAGGAUCCCAUGCCAAAGAUGAUGGAAACUGAGUUAAGGCAAAGCAUGGCUUCCGGCUUCCUGUGAUCUAGAAAUCUUCACGCAGUCUUAUCCCACCCCCACGGACACCUGAAGGCCACAGGCUUCACAGCUCUUUGGAGAUAUCUGAGCAAGAGAUAUGUCUGGAAAGAAGAAGGUCACAAGUCUGGUAGCUGAAAUUCUUCAAGAACUCCAAAGAGCUUUGGCUUAUUUCUUAAUUGUCUACACUUUACUGUUAGGAGGCUUCAUUUGCGCCGGUCUGAUAUACCAGAUCUUAGCUGCUGAGUAAGGACUGUGCACAAAGUCUGUUGUGCUCAAUGGGGACGACAAUGAAUUAAUAGAGACAGCGCACAGCCUUCUUUUCCAUUUAUAAUGAAAACAAGCACCUUUGUAACUUGGGGCUCUUCCAGAUAGAAGAGAUCUGUGAUGAUCGCCUGAUACCACAGCUGGACAAUUGCCGUUCUGAUGUUUCCCAGCAUAUCCCUGUGACUGUUGUCAUCUCUCCUCCAAUAAGGGAAGUCUGCUUAGGAGUGGUAAUGUUUUGCUACCGUGAAUUCCAAUGGACAUUUUGUGCUGUUAAGGGGGUGAGGUGGAGAGAGAUUUUCACAUGUCCUGCCUCUUGCACUUAACUCCACGCUGAAAUUUAAAGGCCAUGGCGCUUUGCCACCACUCCCAGCAAAAAUGUUAGGGAUUCACUGUGCUUUAUUUUGUUUAAGGGGAGAAAGCAACAGUGAGUGAUCAAUUCCUGGAUAGCUGGUAAGGAUUGCCAUUCUCUGGGCUCAGCUGGGAGGGAGGGAGCUGAUUUAAUGCCUGUCAAUUCUCUGAGAGUGCUAUUGGCUGGCAAACCUGUCCAUUCAGCUCCAUCCUGACCGUUUUCAAGUGGAAUUGGAGGGGAUGGAGGGACAGAAAUGGUGACCUAUUGGGCGUUACCAGAGAGGCCAUGAAUGAAAUCUGACAAAACGGGAGUAAAUUAUAAAACCAAUCUACAAACUCAACUGUUGUUCUUUCAGUGUUUCAGAACACUGAGGUUCUGGAUAUGCCCUGGACUUCCAAAUUGAUGCCAUCCCAGAGAGACCUCUCUUUCCAAUAACCAACCAUUUGAUUUCUAAUGACAAGGAAAACUGCCACAAAACCGGACUAGAGAUCUUGCUUUUGCAGAAAGCUUACAUGAGAUAAUCUCGUUCCUUUUUCUGUCUCCUUUUUUACUAACAGUCACAUGAUACUGUUUAGAACAGUGCUUCUCAACCUUGACAGCUUGAAGAUGUGUGGAUAGCCAGCAUGGAGAACUUUGGGAAUUGAAGUCCACACAUCUACAAGCUGCCAGUUGAAAUCAGUUGAAAAACACUGAUUUAGUAUCAUUACCUAAUUGGCAAGGCUCUUUUGAUUGAUUGAUUGGUUGAACAUUAUUUGCUGCUUAACGCCAAUAGAUUCUGAGUAGAUCCUGAAGUUUUACUAGUGUACACAAUAUUUGCAGCAAAGGUGCAGUUUUAAUAUCCUUGCCAGGGGAUCAGCUCUGUUGAUACCACGUUGAAGAAGAAACCAUCACUUUUGGGGGCUGUUUGUAACAUGCUGACCCACUAUUUUAUUUUAUUAGUGGGAAAGAUUAAGCAGACCAGAGGUGUCUGUGGGGAUGCAUAUCAAAAAAGGUCAUAAUGACAGCACAACCAUGUGGUGGAAGCCUUGCCUCAUUUUAACAUACAGCCAAUUCGAGUUGAGUGCACUUGAGUUGAGAACUGGACAAAAGCCUCUUAGGGGGAAAUGUACUUUUGAUAACUACUAUAAAAUUGUUGGUGCCAGUGAAUUCUGCAUGACUUGUGUCAUAAAUUCCUUGGUCCAGAGAUUUCUCUAAUUUAUUUCUCUCCUAAGUUCAGGCAAAUACAUAACUACAUAUCAGAAAACACCAAGAAGUUAUUUCCCCCUAGGUCAAGGGCUCAUGGCCAAAUUACUGCUAUCCACCAGUCCCUGAGUCAGUUGAAAAAUAUGUUGGCAUAAAUUAUGUCCCAUCCCCCCCCCUCAAUCUAUAAGAAAUCCAGCAAACUAAGUUGCCUUUAGUUACUGCUGCCAAGUUAAGGAAGAGAUUAAGUCUGCCCCAUUAGGUAACACUACUUUGUUGAGAUUGGCAAUAAUAGCAGAUUCUUACAAAUCUUUGUCUCCUCCCUCUUUUUAUACUCCAGUGAUUUAGGGAGAUGUCUACCCUGAGCAACCUCCAAAUGUUAUCUCUUUCUGGACUUAAAAAAGUGUUCUAUCCCCUUUUGCCGGGAUAAGAGUUUCUAUCUACAUAUUUUUGCAAAGGUCAUCUUCAUUACUCUCUACAGUUGAUAAAUAGCUCCUAGUUUCAUUUCCCACUAAGCUUGACUUGCCUGCUGAAAAACAACUACUAAUCACUCUUCUGAUAUGGGAAAGGUUGACUUUAAGCAGAUGUUUGGGAUGGCAGAUUUAGUCAUCUGCUAAAUUCGAUUCAGCAGUGACAGAACUAAGAAGGGGAUACAGAGUGAAGUGGAAGGAAUUCUUUAUUCCUUCUUUUUCAUAUCCUCUACUUAGAAUUGACCAAUCAGGAUAUUUCUAAAAACAGGUCUAGCCUUCCUCUUGAAUAGCACUAAAUUAUUUUGGCUGACAAUAGAGGGUACAGGCUAGAGAGAGAAGGAGUGAUUAAUAAUAAGCAAGUUCCACCUUGUUUAGUGCAGCAAAAGGAUAGUGGCAACUUAGAGUGAUAAGAGAACCCACUUCUGCCUUUACAGAUGGCAACAUCUGGAAGUAGCUUGAUAAUAGAUAAAAUGAACACAUGUACUAGAGUUAGACUUCCAGAAUUGGAAUUGGCUUGCCCAUAAGAGCAUUUAUUGCCGUGGUACACAGUGCUGUCAGAUACAAAAUGAGCAGGCAAAAUAAUGCACCAGCCCCAACGUGGGGGCACAGUGAAGCCCAUUGCACAAAUAGCCCUAGGAACAGCAGCUCCACUGAACUGAAUCUGGGAAUGUUGCACAGAGAGAGCCGUAGCACUCUUGCACAAGUCCUCGGAGCAAAUCAAAAUAAAAAGUGUGGGUAGGCAAUGCCAUGGUAGCAGAAACAAUGUAAAACCUGUGAUGCAUUGAAUAGUAACAGUUAAUAACACCCAGUUGACAGAACCUGGCUCAGUUUUGCCCUCUGCAGGUCAGGGUUAAGCUCCAUCCUCUGACUGGGUCAGCAACCAAAUAGCCAGUGAACCGUGCCAGAGCAUUUUCACAGCAGUGAAGGAUGACCAAGGAUGACUUCAAGCUGCCUUAUUUACAGGCUGUAUGUGAGAAUGAUUUCUGCACCGGUGGCUAGGAGCAUUACCCAGCCAUCACUGAAGUGGUAUGAUUAUUGUUAUUUUGGUAGAAAGACAGUUAGAUGGAUGUCUGUAGAGCAGUGCUGGCUGGGAAAACCUGGGGGUUGAAGUACACACAUUUUAAAGUUGCCAAGAUUGAGGAACACUGCUCUAGAAGGAGCUAUAAAUUGGUAGAGAGCAAUGUCAGGUAGAUAAUGGAGGGAAAAUGUUGCCGAGAAGUGUUUGUGCCACGAUUAAAGCCCAAAGCUGCUCUUAUCAAGUUCAGCCCCCAGUAAAUACAUGGGAGCAAACCAUUCAAAUGCUCAAGUGUGGUGUCCUUUAGCUUUUCGAAAUCAGAAAAAGUUUGCUCAAAGCUGGUACCCUUUGUGACUUUAUGUCCUUUUUAGGAAUCAGUAAAACUCUACAUUCAUAGUCUGAUUUUCCAUGUUGCAUUUUUUUCCCUCUGAAACAAACUAACUUGCAGGCACUUCCCAUACAGGAUGUCAUACUGAGCUGAUCAUUUUAGAUUAAGCAAAAGGCAAUGUCAAAUUAUUUCUUAGACCUGAUUGUACUUACAAAAUAUUUCCAAUUCAAGUCACUCAGUUGUAGAAAACAGAGAAAUACAAUCUUAUGGCAUUUAAGCAUUCGUUAAUAUGUGAUUGACAUGCUCCAGAUACAUAAGUUCUUAAUAUUUAUAUCUGAUUGAAAUUCCAUUCAGUACUGAAUCAUACAGGGGCUGAAACCUGUUUAUAUAAUUUUCAGCAAAUUCUCCAACUUUAUCUGUUAUCAACUAUAUUUUCCAAUCACUGUGCAGAUUGAGCAGCAUUAGCAAAAAUUACCAGAAGUCAUUUUAGGCUGUUAUUUAACCAUUUUAGGGUGUUUUCUUCAUGUCAUAGUUAUAAAGAGAUACCACAUGGAUAGUGCCUUAUCCAUAAAGACUACAGAGCUCUUUUUAGGAUUUUCCCUGUUUUGUUUGGUAUGAAAAUUGGUCUAACUCUUUUGUAUUCUAUAAAUUGGACCUGGUUAGAACUUAAGUAAGAGAUGACUAGAAAAUGACUAGACCGAAUUUAAAAAAAAGGCAGAAAAAUUGACAAGUCACGUUUGUAUUUUUGUCGAGAAAACAAUGUAGCCUUGUCAAGAUGGCCAUCAGCUCAAUAUUAAAGUGACUUUAUCCACAAUAUGCUUAUUAUUAAUGCUCUGCAAAAGCAUUAUGACCAAAAAAUAAGUUAUGAAAAGGCAAAUGGUAAAUAUAUAUUUAAUACCCAAGCUCCACCUCCUGAUUCCCCUAACUUUAUUCAAAUGAUGGAUAAUUGUGGUCACCACCCCCAAUAAUUUGAGCAAACUCUCUAUGUAUUUAUCUAUCAACACUGGUAACUAGAAGAGGUUUUCUUGAAUGACUUUUAAAGAUCUAUAAUAACUGGUAGAUACUAGAUGGCAACAUACCAAUUAUUUGGAUUGAAGUUGGAGGAAAAAAAGCCCUCAUCUUGUACAAAAUCACCAGCUAAAAGUUAGAAAUCUAAAUUGAGGUGGGAAGGGGUCUUGAAUAUCUCUAAAAAUACACUGUGUCCCCUUGAGGGAACUGAUGCUGUUUUAAAGACCAGAACUGUCUACCUAUGUGCCGUGUUAUGUACAUUUAUAAAUAAAGAGCUACUACAAAGUUA